rnacentral:rRNA from 1 species
GACAUACUAAGAACUUUCCAGAGAUGGAUUGGUGCCUUCGGGAACUUAGAUACAGGUGCUGCAUGGCUGUCGUCAGCUCGUGUCGUGAGAUGUUGGGUUAAGUCCCGNAACGAGCGCAACCCUUUUCCUUAUUUGCCAGCGGGUCAUGCCGGGAACUUUAAGGAUACUGCCAGUGACAAACUGGAGGAAGGCGGGGACGACGUCAAGUCAUCAUGGCCCUUACGGCCAGGGCUACACACGUGCUACAAUGGUCGGUACAAAGGGUUGCUACCUCGCGAGAGGAUGCUAAUCUCAAAAAGCCGAUCGUAGUCCGGAUCGCAGUCUGCAACUCGACUGCGUGAAGUCGGAAUCGCUAGUAAUCGCGGAUCAGAAUGCCGCGGUGAAUACGUUCCCGGGCCUUGUACACACCGCCCGUCACACCAUGGGAGUUUGUUGCACCAGAAGUAGGUAGUCUAACCGCAAGGAGGACGCUUACCACGGUGUGGCCGAUGACUGGGGUGAAGUCGUAACAAGGUAAGCGUAGAUGA